GUGUCAGCCGCCGCGGUAAUACAGAGGUGGCAAGCGUUGUUCGGAAUUACUGGGCGUAAAGGGCGCGUAGGCGGCCUUCUAAGUCAGACGUGAAAUCCCCCGGCUUAACCUGGGAACUGCGUCUGAUACUGGGAGGCUUGAGUAUGGGAGAGGGAUGUAGAAUUCCAGGUGUAGCGGUGAAAUGCGUAGAUAUCUGGAGGAAUACCGGUGGCGAAGGCGGCAUCCUGGACCAUAACUGACGCUGAGGCGCGAAAGCUAGGGGAGCAAACGGGAUUAGAUACCCUAGUAGUCC
rnacentral:rRNA from 1 species